rnacentral:misc_RNA from 1 species
CCGAGCGAGGGCCCCCGGCCCGACCUCCAACCCUUUGUUGACCAACACCUGUUGCCUCGGGGGGCGACCCGGACGCCGACGCGUCGGCCGACGGGCACCCCGGUGGACCAUUCCAACUCUGUGUCCGUACGUCGGAGUACUUAGCGAAUCAAUCA